AGAGUUUGAUCCUGGCUCAGAUUGAACGCUGGCGGCAGGCCUAACACAUGCAAGUCGAGCGGAAACGAGUUAUCUGAACCUUCGGGGGACGAUAACGGCGUCGAGCGGCGGACGGGUGAGUAAUGCCUAGGAAAUUGCCCUGAUGUGGGGGAUAACCAUUGGAAACGAUGGCUAAUACCGCAUAAUGCCUACGGGCCAAAGAGGGGGACCUUCGGGCCUCUCGCGUCAGGAUAUGCCUAGGUGGGAUUAGCUAGUUGGUGAGGUAAUGGCUCACCAAGGCGACGAUCCCUAGCUGGUCUGAGAGGAUGAUCAGCCACACUGGAACUGAGACACGGUCCAGACUCCUACGGGAGGCAGCAGUGGGGAAUAUUGCACAAUGGGCGCAAGCCUGAUGCAGCCAUGCCGCGUGUGUGAAGAAGGCCUUCGGGUUGUAAAGCACUUUCAGUCGUGAGGAAGGUAGUGUAGUUAAUAGCUGCAUUAUUUGACGUUAGCGACAGAAGAAGCACCGGCUAACUCCGUGCCAGCCGCCGCGGUAAUAC
rnacentral:rRNA from 1 species